UACAGAGGGGGCAAGCGUUAUUCGGAAUUAUUGGGCGUAAAGGGCGCGUAGGCGGCUUGGCAAGUGGAUGGUGAAAUCCCUCGGCUUAACCGAGGAACUGCCGUCCAAACUGCUUCGCUUGAGACCGGGAGAGGUGAGUGGAAUUCCCAGUGUAGCGGUGAAAUGCGUAGAUAUUGGGAGGAACACCAGUGGCGAAGGCGGGUCUCUGGGCCGAUACUGACGCUGAGGAGCGAAAGCGUGGGGAGCGAACAGG
rnacentral:rRNA from 1 species